AGCAGCCGCGGUAAUUCCAGCUCCAAUAGCGUAUAUUAAAGUUGUUGCAGUUAAAAAGCUCGUAGUUGAAUUUCGGGAUCAAUGCGUCGGUCGUGCCUUCGGUACGUACUAGCGUCAUUGAUUCCUCCCUUCUGAAGAACCGUGAUGUCAUUAAUUUGGUGUUACGGGGAAUCAGGACUGUUACCUUGAAAAAAUUAGAGUGUUUAAAGCAGGCUAACGCUUGAAUACAUUAGCAUGGAAUAAUGAAAUAGGACGUUCGAACCUAUUUUGUUGGUUUCUAGGAUCGACGUAAUGAUUAAUAGGGAUAGUUGGGGGCAUUAGUAUUCAAUUGUCAGAGGUGAAAUUCUUGGAUUUAUUGAAGACUAACUACUGCGAAAGCAUUUGCCAAGGAUGUUUUCAUUAAUCAAGAACGAAAGUUAGGGGAUCGAAGACGAUCAGAUACCGUCGUAGUCUUAACCAUAAACUAUGCCGACUAGGGAUCGGAUGAUGUUAAUUUUUAAUGUACUCAUUCGGCGCCUUA
rnacentral:rRNA from 1 species